rnacentral:rRNA from 1 species
UGGGGAAUCUUGCACAAUGGGGGAAACCCUGAUGCAGCGACGCCGCGUGAGCGAUGAAGCCCUUCGGGGUGUAAAGCUCUUUCGGCAGGAACGAUAAUGACGGUACCUGCAGAAGAAGCUGCGGCUAACUACGUGCCAGCAGCCGCGGUAAUACGUAGGCAGCAAGCGUUGUUCGGAGUUACUGGGCGUAAAGAGUGUGUAGGCGGUUUGCCAAGUUCGGUGUGAAAUCUCCCGGCUUAACUGGGAGGGUGCGCCGAAAACUGGCAGGCUCGAGUGCGGGAGAGGAGAGCGGAAUUCCUGGUGUAGCGGUGAAAUGCGUAGAGAUCAGGAGGAACACCUGCGGUGUAGACGGCUCUCUGGACCGCAACUGACGCUGAGACACGAAAGCGUGGGUAGCAAACAGGAUUAGAUACCCUGGUAGUCCACGCCCUAAACGAUGCACACUUGGUGUGGGCAGUUCAUUCUGUCCGUGCCGUAGUU